rnacentral:lncRNA from 1 species
UGAAUGUUCUACCAUGCAUUUUGUAUAGUUUUUUUCUCUUAAGCUUGGCUUGUGUUUAGGUUCUUGGGAAACAUGGGAUUAUCUGCAUGGAAGAUCUUGUUCACGAGAUCAUGACUGUCGGACCUCAUUUUACUCCACCAACAACUUCAUCUGGUCAUUCCAACUGAAGGCGCCAUUGGGUGGUCUGAAGAAGAAGAGAAAUCACCAUGUUGAAGGAGAAGACACUGGAAACCGUGAAGAUUAUGUAAACGAGCUUAUCAGAAGAAUGAACUAGAUUUUGUUACUUCUAUUGUGUUGGAGAAACUGAGGUUCUUUAUUCUGUUAUUGGAAGUUCAAGAAAUCUCUCAUUUUUACUCUGCUGAUAGCUGCUGACUUUUCUUUUUUCGUGCAACUGUUCUAUAGAUUAAUUUUGUUUUUCGAUUUGUACGCUUAAUUAAGUUUAAUUUAAGGCUUUGC